GGGGAGCAAUCCCUGAGUACUGCGGCGCACGGGUGCGUAACACGUGGGUAAUCUUCCUCUGGGUUCGGAAUAACCCUUCGAAAGGAGGGCUAAUACCGGAUAAGCCCACGAUCUCUUUGGAGAUUGAGGGAAAAGGUGGCCUCUGCAUGCAAGCUAUCACCUGGAGAUGAGCCCGCGGCCCAUCAUGCUAGUUGGCGGGGUAACGGCCCACCAAGGCGACGACGGGUAGCUGGUCUGAGAGGACGAUCAGCCACACUGGAACUGAGACACGGUCCAGACUCCUACGGGAGGCAGCAGUGGGGAAUCUUGCGCAAUGGGCGAAAGCCUGACGCAGCAACGCCGCGUGAGUGAUGAAGGCCUUCGGGUCGUAAAGCUCUUUCGGAAGGGACGAAACCGGUCCGGGAUAAUAAACCGGGCUCUUGACGGUACCUUAAGAAGAAGCACCGGCUAACUCUGUGCCAGCAGCCGCGGUAAUACAGAGGGUGCAAGCGUUGUUCGGAAUUAUUGGGCGUAAAGCGCGUGUAGGCGGCAAGGCAUGUCGGGUGUGAAAGCCCUCGGCUUAACCGAGGAAGUGCGCCCGAAACUAUCUUGCUUGAGUUUCGGAGAGGAUGGCGGAACUCCCGGUGUAGAGGUGAAAUUCGUAGAUAUCGGGAAGAACACCAGUGGCGAAGGCGGCCAUCUGGACGAAAACUGACGCUGAGACGCGAAAGCGUG
rnacentral:rRNA from 1 species